UACGUAGGGUGCAAGCGUUGUCCGGAAUUAUUGGGCGUAAAGAGCUCGUAGGCGGUUUGUCGCGUCUGCUGUGAAAAUCCAGGGCUUAACCCUGGACCUGCAGUGGGUACGGGCAGACUGGAGUGCGGUAGGGGAGAUCGGAAUUCCUGGUGUAGCGGUGAAAUGCGCAGAUAUCAGGAAGAACACCAAUGGCGAAAGCAGCUCUCUGGGACGGUACUGACGCUGAGACGCGAAAGCGUGGGGAGCGAACAGG
rnacentral:rRNA from 1 species